rnacentral:piRNA from 1 species
UGGAUUGUGCCAUCCAAGCCGGACCGUUCUUU